rnacentral:tRNA from 1 species
GGGGGUAUAGCUCAGUUGGGAGAGCGGCGCGUUCGCAUCGCGCAGGCCAGGGGUUCGAAUCCCCUUACCUCCA